GAUGAACGCUGGCGGCGUGCCUAAUACAUGCAAGUCGAGCGAACAGACGAGGAGCUUGCUCCUCUGACGUUAGCGGCGGACGGGUGAGUAACACGUGGAUAACCUACCUAUAAGACUGGGAUAACUUCGGGAAACCGGAGCUAAUACCGUAUAAUAUAUUGAACCGCAUGGUUCAAUAGUGAAAGACGGUUUUGCUGUCACUUAUAGAUGGAUCCGCGCCGCAUUAGCUAGUUGGUAAGGUAACGGCCUACGAAGGCAACGAUGCGUAGCCGACCUGAGAGGGGGAUCGGCCACACUGGAACUGGGACACGGUCCAGACUCCUGCGGGAGGCAGCAGUAGGGAAUCUUCCGCAAUGGGCGAGAGCCUGGCGGAGCAACGCCGCGUGAGUGAUAAAGGUCUUCGGAUCGUAAAACCCUGUUAUUAGGGAAGAACAAAUUUGUAAGUAACUAUGCACGGCUUGACGGUACCUAAUCAGAAAGCCACGGCUAACUACGUG
rnacentral:rRNA from 1 species